UACGGGGGGGGCAAGCGUUGUUCGGAAUUACUGGGCGUAAAGGGCUCGUAGGUGGCCAACUAAGUCAGACGUGAAAUCCCUCGGCUUAACCGGGGAACUGCGUCUGAUACUGGAUGGCUUGAGGUUGGGAGAGGGAUGCGGAAUUCCAGGUGUAGCGGUGAAAUGCGUAGAUAUCGGGAAGAACACCCGUGGCGAAGGCGGCACUCUGGGACGGUACUGACGCUGAGACGCGAAAGCGUGGGGAGCGAACAGG
rnacentral:rRNA from 1 species